rnacentral:rRNA from 1 species
GGGCCCGCACAAGCGGAGGAACAUGUGGUUUAAUUCGAUGAUACGCGAGGAACCUUACCCGGGCUUGAAAUGCGGCGGACCGGCAGAGAGAUCUGCCUUCCCUUCGGGGCCGCCGUGUAGGUGCUGCAUGGUUGUCGUCAGCUCGUGCCGUGAGGUGUCGGCUUAAGUGCCAUAACGAGCGCAACCCUCAUCAUUAGUUACUAACAGGUCAUGCUGAGGACUCUAGUGAGACUGCCAUCGUAAGAUGCGAGGAAGGUGGGGAUGACGUCAAAUCAGCACGGCCCUUACGUCCGGGGCGACACACGUGUUACAAUGGGUGGUACAAAGGGCAGCUACCUGGCGACAGGAUGCUAAUCUCCAAAACCACUCUCAGUUCGGAUCGGAGUCUGCAACUCGACUCCGUGAAGCUGGAUUCGCUAGUAAUCGCGCAUCAGCCACGGCGCGGUGAAUACGUUCCCGGGCCUU